AGAGGUGAACCCAUGGCUACACCAUCAAAGUGGUCGUAGCAUUUUUAAAAUAACAAUAAUAAUUGGCAAGUUUUUGAAACUGGGCGGGUUCGCACUUACGUUACCGUGAUUGACAGAUUUAUUGCUCAUGGAAGCAAAAUUCGCUCGUGUUCAUUACAGUGAAAUUGCUCUGUGUAACAAUUCCCUUAGAAAAGUCAUUAUUCACUGUGGAUUGAUUGCUUCGAAAACUCCACCCUUAUGCAAUGUUUCUCGUUUUCUCGGUGAACAACAACAGGGUGUCUUAAAACAUACCGAAAAAAAUCCACGCCUUCCUCUUAAUCGCUUGCCUCGAUCUUUUGUACCUGCCAAAACUCUCAAAUAACAGUGCCGUGCGAGGAAAAAAAAAUGUAUAUCACAUAACCUUUCACGCACACAAAAAUGCGUGGUUGCUCAUGGUUACUUGCUUUGAAUUUCGGUCGCCUAUGUUUAAUUACGCUCUCAUUCAGAGGACGACAAGCAAUUGGUUGAGAUUUCCACAAUGCGGCUUCCUUUGUGUUGUGUUACACAAAGCACCCUGUGCGUCGCAGGCACUGUUCAUUCCUGCCUUCCGUUGGCAAGUUGCGGAGCGUAGCUUGGUGCAGUUCCUUCUCGGAAACGAAUCUCUUCUUUGCCGUGUUGGUUUUAACUGCUGGGAUAUACCGUUUGAUAUAAUUUGGCUUCGCGCGCGAAUUACUGGCGGUUAGUCGGAUAAACAGCUUGGUUUUGAAAUGCAUACAAUUUAUUCGUUCCUUUGCUGGAGCUGAAUUAUCACAAUUUACAAGUUUGGCUGCAACAUUCAACGGACGAGAUGAAACUUGGGAUCAUGGAAUGUGUUGGCUCUUACAUCCAGAUGUCUGUGGGACUUAGGCAAGUCUUCAAUCCAACUUAACAGCUCAUCAUGAGAGGAAAAUAAGGUAUCCUGUAACAAUUGCUGUCAAAAUUAAUUUGAUAUAAUAAAAUUUCAGAGUUACUUUCAAUAAGAAAGUAAGUGUGAAAAAAAAUGUUUUGACAUUUUCAAGAUGUCAUGGUGAUA